AUACGGAGGGUGCGAGCGUUGUUCGGAAUUAUUGGGCGUAAAGAGCAUGUAGGCGGUCUGUUAAGUCUGGUGUGAAAGCCCGGGGCUCAACCCCGGAAGUGCGUUGGAUACUGGCAGACUUGAGUAUGGGAGAGGAAAGCGGAAUUCCGAGUGUAGGAGUGAAAUCCGUAGAUAUUCGGAGGAACACCAGUGGCGAAGGCGGCUUUCUGGACCAAUACUGACGCUGAGAUGCGAAAGCGUGGGGAGCAAACAGGAGUAGAUACCCCAGUAGUCC
rnacentral:rRNA from 1 species